rnacentral:tRNA from 1 species
ACCGCAAUAGGUCAGCUGGUAGAGCGCCUGCCCGGUAUGCGGAGGAUCGCCGGUUCGAUUCCGGCUUGCGGCC